GCUUGUGGUAGGAAACAGACUCAAAAUAGGAGGGAUUGAGUUAAGAAACGGAUUUAAGGUUGAAAGAGGGCUCGAGUUAAGAAUUGGACUUAUGAUAAGAGAGGAGCUUGAGGCAGGAAACAGACUAUGGUAGAAAAACUGAGUUAAAGUAGGAUGAGUGCUUAAAUGAGGAAACAUAGGAUUAAUACUUGUGUUUUGAUGCAUACUUAUUGUAUGAGGAGAGUUUAAGGUAGGAAGAGUGCUUGAGCUAGGAAACAGACUUGAGGCAGGAAACAUAUUAAAAGUCGGAGGAAGCUUGGAGUAGAAAGAGGCUAGAUGUAGAAAACCGAUUUAAGGAGGAGAGUUGUAGUUAGACAGUUGAUUUAAGGCAUGAUUAAUGUUCGAGUCAGGAAAGAGAUUUAAGGUUGAAGGAGAGUCUAGGAUAGAAAACGGAUUUGAGGAAGACGAGAUUGAUGUAGGUUGAUGUCUUGAAGAGUGCUCCAUUAGUCCCUAAAGAAGUUUUUCACUUUUGUUUUCACAAUUAAUGAAGGCAACUAUGUUUCUUUCCUUUCUUCUUUUAGAAGAGCUUCUUCACAAAAAUAAUUUUCAGGAAUCGAAAUUGUUAAUUGCCUAAAUGAAAUGCAAUUCUUUAAUAGCCUUCAUAAUUUAAUUUCUUUACUGUUGGACUACUCCUUUAUUUUUACAAUUCCAGGAUGAUCAGAGAAGAAUAUAACUAUGUGAUAUUUUCUGAUUCUUGUAUUUUACUAAAGUAUUCAGAUAUAUAUUUGUUUCCAAUUGAGCCAUUUAACUCUUAUCUUAUUUUAUAGGUUUUGUAGACUAUUUUAGAGACCUAUCUUUACGUACGAGAAUGACUAUAAUCAUAAAUUUCACCGAGAUGACAAGGCUUCUGGACCUGAUAAUAUACCAGCAAAAAAAACAACUAUGUACUGUUUCCCUAACUACUUAGGUUUUGAUUUUAUAUGGAAAAGAGGGGUAUGUUCUCCUCAAACUAACUCGAGGUAGGAUUUCCCUCAUCCCCAAAAAUUGAAAUGUAACUUCACUUAGUCAUUGGAGGACUUUGACAAUAAUUAAUGAAUUAUACAGAAUUUUAGUGGGUACUUUAGCCAAAAAAAUCGAGCCAAUACAUGUUCGGUUCAGAAAAAAAGGUUUAAAAAACAACAACCACAUAUUGCCGAUAUUUCCCGAAAUAUUCAGAGAACUAUUAAUUCCGUUAAAUAAGAAACAUAUUUGGAGCAACAAUCCCAUUAACUUUAGCAAAGCUUUUGAAUCUUGAUUGAUGAAUAACAGAGUAACCAUAUAGUCUUAGGAAAAAGCUGUAUAUAAGGAUGCCCUGUAUCUCUGUUACUGUUUGUGGCUAUAAUGGAACAAUGAGGCUGUACACUUUUGAGGAACUUUGUAGGUUUUGGUGUUUCCAUAAUGGUGGUCUGGAUCUCCCAUAAGGAUUGGAGGAUGUAAAGUAGUUGAAAUCGUAAAUAUUUUUGGAAUAGAAUGGGAGAGAAAUCAAUCUUUGGUAUCUAACUUAGUGAAGCUAAACUCUCAAGCGAACAAGUGGUAUCAAGCCUGGAGAGGAUUUAACUUGCAAAAGAGAGUAGACCUAUACAACUCCAAAUUAUUUGAUCAUAUGAUUUGUGUGGCCACGCCUCUACCAUCAGUAGGCAAGAGGAUCUUAAAGGAAGAGGAAGGUUGGUUGAAUCAUGGAAAUCUAAAAUAACUGGAACGCUCACACGUUGAAAAAAAUAAAAUAAAAUUUCGGUUAUGAGGCUAUUGUUUUUCCCUCGUGUUUUCAUACUCAACAGCGUAUUUUGUAUUUACUUAAUACAACUUUGUUCAUCAUAAUUAAAACCUUGUGAAUUACUUGUGAUGGUGUCCUUUUCUAUCUCUUCUACGAUCUACUUUUGAGCACAGUAAGUAAAAUAUCCUGUAACACUUGUGGAUAUGAGAUUAAUAAUAUAUCUAUAUAUUUCAAAUCAUGCCUCAUAACUGCUGUGUUCCUAAGUGAUCUUCCGGAUAUGAUGGAAAACCAGCCAUAGCAAGGUUGCCGCUCCAAUCUUUUCCACUGGAUGAAUCCUCAAAAGAUGCCUGGCUUAGAGCCAUUCUACGGGACAGCAAUGGGACUUAGGCACCUUCUAAGUAUUCAAGUGGCUGUUCUCUCCAUUUUCGCGAGGAUGACUUUGUAUAUGAGAGUGUAGACAACAAGAGGAAAUUUCGAUCUUAUGGAGUUGAAGAUAAUAAGCUCUAAAAACGUUAUUUGAAACCCUCUAAAGUGCCUAGUAUUUUCCCCAAUCUUCCGAAAUACUUAUCAUCCGUCAAAAGUCAACGACCUACAGCGAGAGCUACCACAUCACCCAGGAUUUCUAAGGAAAAUGAAG
rnacentral:lncRNA from 1 species